rnacentral:rRNA from 1 species
UUGAACGCUGGCGGCAUGCUUUACACAUGCAAGUCGAACGGGUGUAGCAAUACACUAGUGGCGAACGGGUGAGUAAUGCAUCGGAACGUACCGUGUAGUGGGGGAUAACCCGGCGAAAGUCGGAUUAAUACCGCAUGAGAUCUACGGAUGAAAGCAGGGGAUCGUAAGACCUUGCGCUAUAUGAGCGGCCGAUGUCGGAUUAGCUAGUUGGUGGGGUAAAGGCCCACCAAGGCGACGAUCCGUAGCGGGUCUGAGAGGAUGAUCCGCCACACUGGGACUGAGACACGGCCCAGACUCCUACGGGAGGCAGCAGUGGGGAAUUUUGGACAAUGGGCGCAAGCCUGAUCCAGCCAUGCCGCGUGAGUGAAGAAGGCCUUCGGGUUGUAAAGCUCUUUUGUCCGGGAGCAAACCUUCGUGGUUAAUACCUACGGAGCUGAGAGUACCGGAAGAAUAAGCACCGGCUAACUACGU